rnacentral:rRNA from 1 species
UUGAACCGUCUUGUAANGCGGACCAAGGAGUCUAACAUGUAUGCGAGUCUUUGGGCUGUAAACCCCANAAAGGCGCAAUUAAAGUAAAGGCGACCUCGCGUCGCCCAGGUGGGAUCCCGGCGACUCUGUUUCGUCGGGCGCACNGCCGGNCCGUCCAACGACCGCUUUGGCGGCCGGGCNGAGCUAGAGCAUACACGUUGGUACCCGAAAGAUGGUGAACUAUGCCUGGGCAGGACGAGGCCAGAGGAAACUCUGGUGGAAGUCCGCAGCGAUUCUGACNUGCAAAUNGAUCGUCGGACCUGGGUAUAGGGGCGAAAGACUAAUAGAACCAUCUAGUAGCUGGUUCCUC